rnacentral:rRNA from 1 species
AACGUAGGUACCGAGCGUUAUCCGGAUUUACUGGGCGUACAGCGCGUUCAGGCGGUACGGCAAGUCGGGCAUGAAAUCUCUCGGCUCAACCGGGAGACGUUGUCCGAUACUGCCGAACUCGAGGGCAGUAGAGGGUGGUGGAAUUCCGGGUGUAGGGGUGAAAUGCGUAGAGAUCCGGAGGAACAGCAGUGGCGAAAGCGGCCACCUGGACUGCACCUGACGCUCAAACGCGAAAGCGAGGGGAGCGAACGGG